rnacentral:rRNA from 1 species
CGCGUAGGCGGGCCAGCAAGUCCGGGGUGAAAUCUUUCGGCUCAACCGGAAAAGUGCCUUGGAUACUGCUGGUCUCGAGCGAGGUAGGGGCAGGCGGAACUUCCGGUGGAGCGGUGAAAUGCGUUGAUAUCGGAAGGAACUCCGGUGGCGAAAGCGGCCUGCUGGACCUCUUCUGACGCUGAGGCGCGAAAGCUAGGGGAGCAAACG